GACGUAGGGCGCGAGCGUUGUCCGGAUUUAUUGGGCGUAAAGAGCCCGUAGGCGGCUUGUCGCGUCGACUGUGAAAACUCGGGGCUCAACUCCGAGCUUGCAGUCGAUACGGGCAGGCUAGAGUUCGGUAGGGGAGACUGGAAUUCCUGGUGUAGCGGUGAAAUGCGCAGAUAUCAGGAGGAACACCGAUGGCGAAGGCAGGUCUCUGGGCCGAUACUGACGCUGAGGAGCGAAAGCGUAGGGAGCGAACAGG
rnacentral:rRNA from 1 species